AGCCACCAGUGAACUGAUCCAAAAAUAACAAAGGCUGUUUCUGAGUUCUUGUUUGUACCCACCAUUUUCAGAUUACAUCAGAACCAAAACAUGCAGGACUUGAACUGACUUCAAAGGCUAAACUUAGAUUUCUAGCUGGUUGGACUUUUUCCUUUUACUGAUUCAUGUUUUUCAUUUGACUUCCAUAUCCCGUUCUAGCUUGAUGCCCCUUCUAGAAUUUCAUGAUUCGUACAGCCUUGGUUGAUAAAAUACACUAAUUAAUACUGUGGUGGAGGUUGAAGAUUUUAGUAAUCUCAUGCUGCCUGUCCUGUAAAAGAUUUGCUGUUUUUCCACUCAUGUCUACCAUCACACUGAAUGUGGCAAAUGUAACUUAGGUGGGAAUCUGAAUUUACUUCAUUGGAAUGCAUUUAAAGCUGGGGAAACUUGUUGGCAUUAGAUCUACCCUGCAGCAUACUGAGGAAGGUCCCAGGGCUGGAUAGAAAUGAUCCCAGAUGGGAGCCCAUGUGUUCGGGAAGACCAAAGAACACUGGAAACGGUGUAUCUGGUGGAGGUGUUCGGAUCCCUGGCUGUGCUCUUGGAGGGCCUGUGUCUUUAGGAGUUUGUUCCAGUUCUCAGGCUCCUGGCUCACCA